GACGAACGCUGGCGGCGCGCCUAACACAUGCAAGUCGAACGAGCGAGAGAGAGCUUGCUUUCUCGAGCGAGUGGCGAACGGGUGAGUAACGCGUGAGGAACCUGCCUCAAAGAGGGGGACAACGUUCUGAAAAGAACGCUAAUACCGCAUAACAUACGGAUGUCGCAUGGCAACCGUAUCAAAGAUUAUAUCGCUUGAAGAUGGACUCGCGUCCGAUUAGCCAGUUGGCGGGGUAACGGCCCACCAAAGCGACGAUCGGUAGCCGGACUGAGAGGUUGAACGGCCACAUUGGGACUGAGACACGGCCCAG
rnacentral:rRNA from 1 species